GAUGAACGCUGGCGGCGUGCCUAAUACAUGCAAGUCGAGCGAACGGACGAGGAGCUUGCUUCUAUUAGGUUAGCGGCGAACGGGUGAGUAACACGUGGGGAACCUACCUAUAAGACUGGGAUAACUUCGGGAAACCGAUGCUAAUACCGGAUAAUAAUUUUAACCACAUGUUUCAAAAGUGAAAGACGCUCUUGCUUUCACUUAUAGAUGUAUCCGCGCUGCAUUAGCUGGUUGGUAAGUUAAGGGCCUACAAAGGCAAGGAUGCAUAGCGGCCUUGAGGGGGUGAUCGGCAACACUGGAACUGAGCCACGCUCCAGCCUCCUCCGGGAGGAAGCAGUAGGGAACCUCGCGCAUAGGGCGAAGGCCUGCCGGAGCACGGCCGCGUGAGUGAUGAAGGUCUCCGGAUCUUAAACUUCUGUUAUUAGGGAAGACGAUAUGUGUAAGUAAAUGCGCAUCUCUUGACGGUAACUAAUCAGAAAGCCACGGCUAACUACGUG
rnacentral:rRNA from 1 species